rnacentral:rRNA from 1 species
GAUGAACGCUGGCGGCGUGCUUAAUACAUGCAAGUCGAGCGAAUGGAUUAAGAGCUUGCUCUUAUGAAGUUAGCGGCGGACGGGUGAGUAACACGUGGGUAACCUGCCCAUAAGACUGGGAUAACUCCGGGAAACCGGGGCUAAUACCGGGUAACAUUUUGAACCGCAUGGUUCGAAAUUGAAAGGCGGCUUCGGCUGUCACUUAUGGAUGGACCCGCGUCGCAGUAGCUAGUUGGUGGGGUAACGGCUCACCAAGGCAACGAUGCGUAGCCGGGCUGAGAGGGUGAGCGGCCAAACUGGGACUGAGAGACGGCCCGGAAUCCUACGGGAGGCUGCGGUGGGGGAUCUUGGGCAAUGAGCGAAAGCUUGAAGCAGCAACGCCGCGUGGGGGAAGAAGGCUUUCGGGUCGUAAACCCCUUUCAGUUAGGACGAAGCUUUAUUGGUUAAUAACCAAUUGGAUUGACGGUACUUUCAGAAGAAGCCCCGGCUAACUACGUGCCAGCCGCCGCCGUAA